rnacentral:rRNA from 1 species
UACGUAGGGUGCAAGCGUUAAUCGGAAUUACUGGGCGUAAAGCGUGCGCAGGCGGUUAUGCAAGACAGAUGUGAAAUCCCCGGGCUUAACCUGGGAACCGCAUUUGUGACUGCAUAGCUGGAGUACGGCAGAGGGGGAUGGAAUUCCGCGUGUAGCAGUGAAAUGCGUAGAUACGCGGAGGAACACCGAUGGCGAAGGCAGUCCCCUGGGCCUGCACUUACGCUCAUGCACGAAAGCGUGGGGAGCAAACAGG